rnacentral:tRNA from 1 species
GCUAGCGUAGCUUAAACUAAAAGCAUGACACUGAAAAUGCCAAGAUGAGUCCUAGAAAAUUCCGCAAGCA